CACAUUUCUUCCACAAACGCUUGUAUCAACCCACACAUUUUAUCCACUUUUAGCCACUGAUUCAAUAAAUUAAAAAAUAAUACAAAGUUGCUUUGAAAAGAAAACUCCUUGGUUUCUAAACCAUAACAAAGUUUAUUGUGUUUAGUCCAGUCCAAUGAAUAGUCUCUUCUACUUCUGAGAUACAAAUUAUUGAACAAAGAAAAACUUGUUGGACCUCUAUAUCAAUAAAAACGUAUUAGACAAUGAAAAUCUGUAACUUAUUGGACCUUUGACAGAUCUUCAAUUGUGAAGUCACAUACAGAGUUCCUGAGUUCAGCAUACCUCAGCCUCUGUAGCCAAAAAUUCUUUUAUCACAGAAGGAGUGAAAACAAACAAGUAUACAUCAUGAGAGUAAGUCAGAGAUAAGUUUAUCAAAGCAGCAUUUGGAAUUUUCAUUAUUAUGUCCUCGUUAGGUCAUCUUUGGUGUUACAUAUAUGAUAUGUAUGAGAGUCUAUGGAAGAUCAAAGUUAAAUGGGGUUCCAAAUAUAACUCUAGU